UGAUCUAUGCCUAUACAAUUUCACUGAUCUCAUGAGUUUUGGUUUGUUGCAGUGGUCAUGUGAUGAAGCUCUAUCUAUGGGACAAGGCUGCCACUGACCUCUGUGAGAAGUUUAAGGCACAUGAAAACACUCCGAGUGUUAUUAUGGUGACCACUGUCAACCCGAAACGAUUUGGAGGCGCGCUAGCUCUAUCCUUUAUGUCAUCUUCGCGUGUGUUCUUUGACAUGGAUGUUCAACCAACCAGGGAUUAUCUGACUUAGUAAUUAUUUCUUAGUUGCAUAAGCAUUUGGAAGCUUUGACUUACAUAAUUUUUGGAGAACCUUUACUUCAGGUUGAGCUCAAAAUCGGAUGUUGCUAACAUGGUUAAUGCCGAAAUUGUCACCAAGGCUGAGAUAGUUACUAUAGGAGAACUAUUCUCCUACAUCAAGAAAGAAGGAGCAAAGGUUGCUUGGUUUGAGUGCACAGCCACCAUUGAUGAUGUUGUGCAUGGUUCUGCGUGGUAUUAUAUCGCCUAUGGUGGGUGCAAAACUAAGGCAAC